ACAGCCACUGACACGCUGGCAGCACAAUGAUGAUGUCACUGACUCUACUGCUGGCCACCCUGGGGCUCCUUGUUCAGGGUUCAUCAGGAGAAAUCAUCCUGACUCAGUCUCCUGGAUCUCAGUCUGUUCUUCCAGGACAGUCUGUCUCCAUCACAUGUAGAUCCAGUUCAAGUAUCUGUAACAGCCUCCACUGGUACCUUCAGAAACCUGGAGAAGCUCCUAAACUUCUUGUUUAUUAUGCUACAACUCGUCAUUCUGGAGUUUCUGAUCGUUUCAGUGGAAGUGGAUCUGGAUCUGACUUCACUUUGACCAUCAGUAGAGUUCAGACUGAAGAUUCAGGAGUUUAUUAUUGUCAGCAGAGUAACAGCGCACCGUUCACACAGUGA